UACGAAGGGGGCUAGCGUUGCUCGGAAUCACUGGGCGUAAAGCGCACGUAGGCGGCUUUCUAAGUCAGGGGUGAAAUCCUGGAGCUCAACUCCAGAACUGCCUUUGAUACUGGAGAGCUUGAGUCCGGGAGAGGUGAGUGGAACUCCGAGUGUAGAGGUGAAAUGCGUAGAUAUCUGGAGGAACACCGGUGGCGAAGGCGGCAUCCUGGACCGGUAUUGACGCUGAGGCGCGAAAGCCAGGGAAGCAAACGGG
rnacentral:rRNA from 1 species